CAAUACUUAGUGGCAGACGGGUGAGUAACAUGUAGGUAUCUACCCUAUGGUUUGGAAUAACACGAGGAAACUUGUGCUAAUACCAAAUAAGUCUUUACGGAGAAAGCUUUAUGCGCCAUUGGAUGGGCCUGCACUUGAUUAGUUUGUUGGUGGGGUAAUGGCCUACCAAGACAAUGAUCAAUAGCUGAUUUGAGAGGAUGAUCAGCCACAUUGGGACUGAGACACGGCCCAAACUCCUACGGGAGGCAGCAGUGGGGAAUCUCGCACAAUGGGGGAAACCCUGAUGCAGCGAUGCCGCGUGAGUGAAGAAGGCCUUUGGGUUGUAAAGCUCUUUCGUCGGGGAAGAAAAUGACUGUACCCGAAUAAGAAGGUCCGGCUAACUUCGUGCCAGCAGCCGCGGUAAUACGAAGGGACCUAGCGUAGUUCGGAAUUACUGGGCUUAAAGAGUUCGUAGGUGGUUAAAAAAGUUGGUGGUGAAAUCCCAGAGCUUAACUCUGGAACUGCCAUCAAAACUUUUUAGCUAGAGUAUGAUAGAGGAAAGUAGAAUUUCUAGUGUAGAGGUGAAAUUCGUAGAUAUUAGAAAGAAUACCAAUUGCGAAGGCAGCUUUCUGGAUCAUUACUGACACUGAGGAACGAAAGCAUGGGUAGCGAAGAGGAUUAGAUACCCUCGUAGUCCAUGCCGUANACGAUGUGUGUUAGACGUUGGAAAUUUAUUUUCAGAGUCGCAGCGAAAGCAGUAAACACACCGCCUGGGGAGUACGACCGCAAGGUUUAAACUCAAAUGAAUUGACGGGGACCCGCACAAGUAGUGG
rnacentral:rRNA from 1 species